rnacentral:rRNA from 1 species
AAUUUGAAAUCUGGCAGUCUUCGAUUGUCCGAGUUGUAAUCUAUAGAGGCGUUUUCCGUGCCGGACCGUGUCCAAGUCUCCUGGAAAGGAGUAUCAAAGAGGGUGAUAAUCCCGUACUUAACACGACCACCGGUGCUCUGUGAUACGUCUUCUACGAGUCGAGUUGUUUGGGAAUGCAGCUCAAAAUGGGUGGUGAAUUCCAUCUAAAGCUAAAUAUUGGCGAGAGACCGAUAGCGAACAAGUACCGUGAGGGAAAGAUGAAAAGCACUUUGGAAAGAGAGUUAAACAGUACGUGAAAUUGUUGAAAGGGAAACGAUUGAAGUCAGUCGUGUUCUUUGGAUUCAGCCAGUUCUGCUGGUCUACUUCCUUGGAACGGGUCAACAUCAGUUUUGUCCGGUGGAUAAAGGUAGUAGGAAUGUGACUUCUCCGGAAGUGUUAUAGCCUAUUAUCACAUACACUGGGUGAGACUGAGGACUGCAGCUCGCCUUUAUGGCCGGCCUUCGGGCACGUUCGAGCUUAGGAUGUUGACAUAAUGGCUUUAAACGACCCGUCUUGAAAC